GUCCACGCCGUAAACGAUGGACACUAGGCGUCGGGGGGAGGCGACCCCUCCGGUGCCGUCGCUAACGCAGUAAGUGUCCCGCCUGGGGAGGUACGGCCGCAAGGCUGAAACUCAAAGGAAAUUGACGGGGGCCCGGCACAAGCGGUGGAGCAUGUGGUUUAAUUCGAAGCAACGCGAAGAACCUUACCUGGGCUUGACAUGCUGGUGAAAGCCGGUGGAAACAUCGGCCCCUCUUCGGAGCGCCAGCACAGGUGCUGCAUGGCUGUCGU
rnacentral:rRNA from 1 species